GAAACGACUGCUAAGACUGGAUAGGAGACAAGAAGGCAUCUUCUUGUUUUUAAAAGACCUAGCAAUAGGUAUGCUUAGGGAGGAGCUUGCGUCACAUUAGUUAGUUGGUGGGGUAAAGGCCUACCAAGACUAUGAUGUGUAGCCGGGCUGAGAGGUUGAACGGCCACAUUGGGACUGAGACACGGCCCAAACUCCUACGGGAGGCAGCAGUAGGGAAUUUUCGGCAAUGGAGGAAACUCUGACCGAGCAACGCCGCGUGAACGAUGAAGUAUUUCGGUACGUAAAGUUCUUUUAUUAGGGAAGAAUAAAUGAUGGAAAAAUCAUUCUGACGGUACCUAAUGAAUAAGCCCCGGCUAACUAUGUGCCAGCAGCCGCGGUAAUACAUAGGGGGCAAGCGUUAUCCGGAAUUAUUGGGCGUAAAGGGUGCGUAGGCGGUUAAAUAAGUUUAUGGUCUAAGUGCAAUGCUCAACAUUGUGAUGCUAUAAAAACUGUUUAGCUAGAGUAAGAUAGAGGCAAGUGGAAUUCCAUGUGUAGUGGUAAAAUGCGUAAAUAUAUGGAGGAACACCAGUAGCGAAGGCGGCUUGCUGGGUCUUUACUGACGCUGAGGCACGAAAGCGUGGGGAGCAAACAGGAUUAGAUACCCUGGUAGUCCACGCCGUAAACGAUGAGUACUAAACGUUGGUUAAAACCAGUGUUGAAGUUAACACAUUAAGUACUCCGCCUGAGUAGUACGUACGCAAGUAUGAAACUUAAAGGAAUUGACGGGACUCCGCACAAGCGGUGGAUCAUGUUGUUUAAUUCGAAGGUACCCGAAAAACCUCACCAGGUCUUGACAUGCUUCUGCAAAGCUGUAGAAACACAGUGGAGGUUAUCAGUUGCACAGGUGGUGCAUGGUUGUCGUCAGCUCGUGUCGUGAGAUGUUGGGUUAAGUCCCGCAACGAGCGCAACCCUUAUUGUUAGUUACCAGCACGUAAUGGUGGGGACUUUAGCAAGACUGCCAGUGAUAAAUUGGAGGAAGGUGGGGACGACGUCAAAUCAUCAUGCCCCUUAUGACCUGGGCUACAAACGUGAUACAAUGGCUGUUACAAAGGGUAGCUGAAGCGCAAGUUUUUGGCGAAUCUCAAAAAAACAGUCUCAGUUCGGAUUGAAGUCUGCAACUCGACUUCAUGAAGUUGGAAUCGCUAGUAAUCGCGAAUCAGCAUGUCGCGGUGAAUACGUUCUCGGGGUUUGUACACACCGCCCGUCA
rnacentral:rRNA from 2 species